GUCCUCUUGUUUAUAUAUGAGGUCUGACCUGCCCGGUGAAAAUUUAAUUUUAACGGCCGCAGUAUUUUGACUGUGCAAAGGUAGCAUAAUCAUUAGUCUUUUAAUAGGGGGCUGGUAUGAAAGGUUUGACGAGGUGUUAACUGUUUCAUUUAAUUUGUAUUUAGAAUUUAACUUUUCAGUUAAAAGGCUGAAAUUAUAUUGGAAGACGAGAAGACCCUAUAGAGCUUUAUAAUUGAAAUUUUAAUUAUUUUUUGAUUAUUAUUUAUUAUUAUUGUUUUAAUUAUUUUGUUGGGGUGACAAAAAUAUAUAAUUAACUUUUUUAUUUAAUUAACAUUGAUUUAUGAAUAUUAGAUCCAUUAUUAUUGAUUGUUAGAUUAAGUUACC
rnacentral:rRNA from 1 species